AUUGAACGCUAGCGGCAUGCCUUACACAUGCAAGUCGAACGGCAGCGCGGACUUCGGUCUGGCGGCGAGUGGCGAACGGGUGAGUAAUACAUCGGAACGUACCCUGUUGUGGGGGAUAACUAGUCGAAAGAUUAGCUAAUACCGCAUACGACCUGAGGGUGAAAGUGGGGGACCGCAAGGCCUCACGCAGCAGGAGCGGCCGAUGUCUGAUUAGCUAGUUGGUGGGGUAAAGGCCCACCAAGGCGACGAUCAGUAGCUGGGCUGAGAGGACGAUCAGCCACACUGGGACUGAGACACGGCCCAGACUCCUACGGGAGGCAGCAGUGGGGAAUUUUGGACAAUGGGGGCAACCCUGAUCCAGCAAUGCCGCGUGUGUGAAGAAGGCCUUCGGGUUGUAAAGCACUUUUGUCCGGAAGGAAAUCGCGCUGGUUAAUACCUGGCGUGGAUGACGGUACCGGAAGAAUAAGCACCGGCUAACUACGUGCCAGCCGCCGCCGUAA
rnacentral:rRNA from 1 species